GGGGGUGACCGGAAUUGAUUGCUCAAGAUGAAGUUUUGCUGUACGGGCUGAUGAUGGGGAUAAUGACUCUCCGACCACUACCUGCCAACUCUAACGAGGUUGCGGCUGCUGCACAGGAUGUGCAGCCCCGCGUGCGCAAAAGCGAUGUCACUUUCAACGGUGAUGUUGAUUCCCUCUUCGCUGCCCUGGGCAUCGAAGUAGCCGAAGCUGAACUGGUUUAAGUCAGCGUUCUGGGGGCUCGAAGAGAAGUAGCCUUAUCGAAGCGGCGAUUACUCCGCUGGUUGACCAGUCAGGGGACACUGACUAUUCCCGUGAGAAUGCAGUUGAAUUGAAUUGAGUAAGACCAGGGUUCGAAUCCCUGCACCUCCACGA
rnacentral:tmRNA from 1 species